rnacentral:tRNA from 1 species
GGAUUGUAGCUCAGUGGUAGAGCACUUGCCUUGCAUGCAUGAGGCCCUGCGUUCAAUCCUCAGCAUCA